GGUUGGAAGCAGCUCUUCGCCCGGACUUUCAAGCAUAGCAGCAAGUAGAGUGUACGCACAUGGGCCACACCUCAAUGAAUUAGCCCCAAUGCUUUUAGGCAAUUUGCAGAAUAUUGCAGUAUUAGUCCUUGGAGAUGCAACAUUGACAAACCCACACAACUUUGCGGCAGUUGUCUCCGUUGAGUCUGGCUCAAGUCUCUUACGCAAUCAUGUACAAUAUCUGAAAUGCUUAAGCAGGAAUUGAGGGUUGAUUCAAAACUGACUGCUUCCUCGUCAAGAAGCCAUGAAGCCAAAUUUUCUCAGUGGAUUGCUGCCAGCAUCACUGUCGUGGACAACCAGCAAUCUUUUCGCGUUUAAAAAAGGGUUUAGGAAGAUAAAGAAGUGCCCCAACACCUUCUACGCAUCAGGUGUCGCCUGUUUGUGUGACCCACGAUGGACGUGACGUUUCUCAUAUUUCGCACCACUUGACCACUUUGCUUCGCGUUUGCGUUGACUCUACUUCCUUUUGGAAACUGCAGAAACAUUGUCUAGAGGUGAACAGGUGAGCACAGCCCUCCGUCGCCUCUGCAGUUUUUUCUGGCCUGAUGAACCCACUGACACAGGACUAUCAAAUUGACCAUUGCGAUUGAUCGACAGAUUAGUAGCUGCAGGGCUAUGGGGCCGACCGCUGUCUAGAUGACAAACCAAAUACGGCGCCUAUUGUCCAUUCAGGUGUGUCCUUGUCUGGGGUGCCCCUUCUGCACAAACGACAGACGUGAAAGUGCACAUCCUGCUGGAACUCGUGUUGCAGCUGAGCCAUUUGCACCCUCAGGAGACAAUCAGCGGAGCGCUGUCUUGAUCGUUCCCGGCUUUGGAGGCUGGUCUGGUCUCUACAGCGAUAUGGCAACAGCUCUGCGCAGUCAAGGCCACCCGGAAGGUCUGACACAGUGACCCUCACGCUGGUGAAAUCUAGCGCACGUGCACUUGUCUCACAGGCAUGUACAAUCCUAUCCAUCUUAGGGAUGCAUGUAUGCCAGAGUCAUUAAGGAGGCAAUCUGUGUUCUUGCAGUGACGGUGGUUCCAGUGAGCACGCACGAGUGGCUGCCAAACGUGUUUGCCGGCCAAUCUUUUGCCUGGUAUCUGUCUCGUGUGCUCACUCAGCUGGACAGGCUCUUUGAAAGGCAUGGCUUGGUCUCUUUAGUAGCACACUCCCAGGGAGGAGUUCUUGCUUUAAUCCUGCUCGGAAGUCAGCCUUAUGAUGGU
rnacentral:lncRNA from 1 species